rnacentral:snoRNA from 1 species
CCAGUGUGAAUAUCUGAGAGGUCUUUCUCUACAGGAUCUGCCCAAGUAGUUGAGGGCAUCAGGUGCUUCCCCAUAGUGCACAGUCUCUUUCUAUAGUGUAGGAGAUGAAGAUGGACUUUGUGUGUACCUGCAUACUACUGCAGCUUACCAGAGUCGUCUUUGACAGUGACAAAGGAGAUGACAAACCAUGUAGGAAAAUAGC